rnacentral:rRNA from 1 species
CUACGCAAUAUGAUUGAACAAUUAUAGGCUUUCUUUAGUUAAAUAAUUAAAUUUAAUUUUUUUAGUGCAAAAGCAAAAAUUAAAUUUAGGGACAAGAAGACCCUAUGAAUUUUAAUUUAAUUUAUAAUUUGAAAUUUUAAAUUAAAUUUGAUUGGGGCGAUGGAAAAAGAAUGAGUAUCUUUUUUAGUUUUAAAAAUUGGUUCCGUUUUUAACGAUUAAAUGAGAAAAAUACUCUAGGGAUAACAGCGUAAUAAUUUUGGAUAGUUCUUAUAGAUAAAAUAGUUUGCGACCUCGAUGUUGGAUUAGGAUUCUUUCUUGGCGAAGAAGUUAAGAAAAAGAAGUUUGUUCAACUUUUAAAUUCCUACAU